GACGAACCACACAAACGUUAUUCGGAAUCACUGGGCAUAAAGCGCACGUAGGCGGCGGCGUAAGUUGGAUGUGAAAUCCCCCGGCCCAACCGGGGAACUGCGUCCAGUACUGCGUUGCUUGAGGAUCCAAGGGGUGCAUGGAAUUCCCGGUGGAGCGGUGAAAUGCGUUGAUAUCGGGAGGAACUCCGGCGGCGAAAGCGGUGCACUGGUGGAUUACUGACGCUGAGGUGCGAAAGCCAGGGGAGCAAACGGG
rnacentral:rRNA from 1 species